rnacentral:rRNA from 1 species
AAAAGAUGGUUCUGCUAUCACUCUUGGAUGGACCUGCGGUGCAUUAGCUAGUUGGUAAGGUAACGGCUUACCAAGGCAAUGAUGCAUAGCCGAGUUGAGAGACUGAUCGGCCACAUUGGGACUGAGACACGGCCCAAACUCCUACGGGAGGCAGCAGUAGGGAAUCUUCCACAAUGGACGCAAGUCUGAUGGAGCAACGCCGCGUGAGUGAAGAAGGGUUUCGGCUCGUAAAGCUCUGUUGGUAGUGAAGAAAGAUAGAGGUAGUAACUGGCCUUUAUUUGACGGUAAUUACCUAGAAAGUCACGGCUAACUACGUGCCAGCAGCCGCGGUAAUACGUAGGUGGCAAGCGUUGUCCGGAUUUAUUGGGCGUAAAGCGAGUGCAGGCGGUUCAAUAAGUCUGAUGUGAAAGCCUUCGGCUCAACCGGAGAAUUGCAUCAGAAACUGUUGAACUUGAGCGCAGAAGAGGAGAGUGGAACUCCAUGUGUAGCGGUGGAAUGCGUAGAUAUAUGGAAGAACACCAGUGGCGAAGGCGGCUCUCUGGUCUGCAACUGACGCUGAGGCUCGAAAGCAUGGGUAGCGAACAGGAUUAGAUACCCUGGUAGUCCAUGCCGUAAACGAUGAGUGCUAAGUGUUGGGAGGUUUCCGCCUCUCA